rnacentral:rRNA from 1 species
GACGAACGCUGGCGGCGUGCUUAACACAUGCAAGUCGAACGGAAAGGCCCUGCUUUUGUGGGGUGCUCGAGUGGCGAACGGGUGAGUAACACGUGAGUAACCUGCCCUUGACUUUGGGAUAACUUCAGGCAACUGGGGCUAAUACCGGAUAGGAGCUCCUGCUGCAUGGUGGGGGUUGGAAAGUUUCGGCGGUUGGGGAUGGACUCGCGGCUUAUCAGCAUGUUGGUGGGGUAGUGGCUUACCAAGGCUUUGACGGGUAGCCGGCCUGAGAGGGUGACGGGCCACAGUGAGACUGAGAUACGGCCACGACUCCUACGGGAGGCAGCAGUGGGGGAGAGUGCACAAUGGGCGGAAGCCUGAUGCAGCAACGCCGCGUGCGGGAUGAUGGCGUUCGGGUUGUAAUCCGCUUUCGCCUGUGACGAAGCGGGAGUGACGGUAAUGGGUAAAGAAGCACCGGCUAACUACGUG